rnacentral:lncRNA from 1 species
GGCAAUCAGGGAACUGCGUCUGCGGAUGGCUGCCCUCGGGGGACCAUUCGCCGGGGCGGCGCGCCGCUGGGGACUCGGCGUGAACCGGGCAGCGGGCGCGCGGUCUCGGAGCCCAGCCCCAGCGGCAGGCGCCAGGAGCCGCAAAGCUGGGCAGGGCUGGCGCCGCUUCCUCCCGGGCACCCGCCGCUCUGUCGCUCCGGGCGCCCAGGCUCACCGGGCAUUUCUAAAUUGUAAAAAGUUUUUAUCAGAUGGUAUGGGCUGAGCAACGCUGGGAUUGGAAAGUAAGACAAGAAACUAUCACCCACCCCCUCCCCCGCCCGCUGAUUUGAAUGCUUAUUAGAUGGACCCUGGAUUCUAGUCUUGGGGUACACGCCCACGUGUAAGAGUAAGCAACCACAGCUCUCUAGACACACUCAUGCCGCCAAUCUCAUGAAAUAAGAGGUAAGGACCUUGCAAUGAUUCCGUUUUCGUCACUCACCCCUUUUACAAUAAUUAGCUUGGCUUUGGGAAAAGUAAGUCCCAAAUCCCCAACACUGAGGGUAAGCUCCACAAAGGCAGGGGAUUUUGUGGGCCAAGUUCACUGAGGUGUCUCAAAACCUUAGCUCGGGACCUGGUACACAGGAGGAGCUCACUAGCGCCCCCGCCACCACGCUCUCCGCUUCCGGGCUGGCUGAGGCCAUGCGUGAUGCAGGCUCCAGAUGGUGCAUAGCAAACAGUGGCGAGAGCCCAGCCCUGGAAACGCAAACAAGGCUAAUGUUUCACCUGACUCUGCAGACCUCCACAGAGACAGCUUUCUCCAUGUUGCCCAGGCUGGUGUGCAUUCUUUGCUUCAGCCAGGAGAGCUCCCUUGGAACUGGGUGCUCCUGCUUGGGAAAAAGGUGGACAACAGGAUGGCUGCCCUACUGAACUCCUGUGGUUCAUAGACCAUGAUGUAGAGAAGGUUUCAUACACCUCUUCUUGGCUCUCGCAUAUUGUUACAAUCAUUGUAUUUAACCUAGAAUUAAGUUGAGAGAACUGUAUGGACCCAUCAUCCAACUUCAACAAUUUUCAACUAUGGUUAAUAUUAUUCGGUCUAUUGCCACACCAGAUUAUUAGUUCUUUCUCCCUGGAUUAUUUUGAUGCAGUUUCUGGACAUCAUAUUAUUUCAUCAGUUAAUAUUUUAGUAUACAUCUUUAGAAGAUAAAUAUCACUAAGUAUUUUAGUAUGUAUAUCUAACAAAACCUCCAUUUAUAAAACUACAAACCAAAUAUAUCAGACCUAGCCCCCCGAGUUUUUUAUAUUAUCAACUAUUCAGUGUUCAGAUUUUCCUGAUUGUCUCAUAAUAUUAAACAUUUGUUUUUGUUUGAA